GUCAUAGUGAUCCGGUGGUUCUGAAUGGAAGGGCCAUCGCUCAACGGAUAAAAGGUACUCCGGGGAUAACAGGCUGAUACCGCCCAAGAGUUCAUAUCGACGGCGGUGUUUGGCACCUCGAUGUCGGCUCAUCACAUCCUGGGGCUGAAGUAGGUCCCAAGGGUAUGGCUGUUCGCCAUUUAAAGUGGUACGCGAGCUGGGUUUAGAACGUCGUGAGACAGUUCGGUCCCUAUCUGCCGUGGGCGCUGGAGAACUGAGGGGGGCUGCUCCUAGUACGAGAGGACCGGAGUGGACGCAUCACUGGUGUUCGGGUUGUCAUGCCAAUGGCACUGCCCGGUAGCUAAAUGCGGAAGAGAUAAGUGCUGAAAGCAUCUAAGCACGAAACUUGCCCCG
rnacentral:rRNA from 1 species